rnacentral:tRNA from 1 species
GCCCCGGUAGCUCAGCAGGAUAGAGCACCAGAUUCCUAAUCUGGGGGUCACAGGUUCAAAUCCUGUCCGGGGUACCA